GGUGGUUCGCAAAGCGUUUCUUACAUCCUGAUAUAGUUGAUCAAUAUAGUCGCAUUCUUCUAUGGGAUGAGGACCUUGGAGUUGACAAUUUCAAUCCUCAACGGUAUGUGUCCAUUGUUCGAAAGGAAGGGCUUGAAAUAUCACAACCGAGACUUGAUUUUUCCAAGACAGAGGUGAACUACAUGGAGAAACUUUCGAAAGAGGAGGGGAUUCACAAGAAACUCAGCAAGGAUAUUUUGCAAUAUAAAGCUCAUAUAAUCAAGAUAUUUGAGGAACAUAGGCACAAUUGGAUCUCUGCAGAUUUAGAGUUUUAGAAAUUUGCCUAGGGCUUAGGAUGCAAGUCAUUGGUGAAUUGUAAACUCCAGUUUAUUAAAUAAAUUAGCUUUUUGUAUCUUUUUAUGAUGUCACUGUUAUGUUUAGUUUUCCUUAAUAAAACAUUACUUUUAUA